rnacentral:rRNA from 1 species
UACAUGAAGCUGGAAUCGCUAGUAAUCGCGGAUCAGAAUGCCGCGGUGAAUACGUUCCCGGGUCUUGUACACACCGCCCGUCACACCAUGGGAGUCGGAAAUGCCCGAAGUCUGUGACCCAACCUUAGGGAGGGAGCAGCCGAAGGCAGGUCGGAUGACUGGGGUGAAGUCGUAACAAGGUAGC